rnacentral:misc_RNA from 1 species
AGUAAACUUGCCCAGAUUCAGAUAGAUGAUAAUGAUAGUAUGUAAACAUCCCUUAAUUCAUGGUUCAUCAACAUCAUAGAUCACAUGCUUAUAUAAUCUUAAAGUACAUACACUGAUUACAAGCGAGAGAAUGCAAGGGAAGGUGUGGAUGAUGAGGGCUGAAACUCAUUGUUAACAAUAAACACGUUAGACCAGCAGCCUACGCCUUCAUAACAGCAGACAAGCUCUUUAACAGGUCACAUUAAACUUCGGGGCAGAAUUUGAUCCUGUUAAGCCAAAGUUGGGUGGCCAGAAAAUCUGAGAGUACUCAGGCAAUGUUGUUACUUUCUCAAUGAUAUGAUUUUCUAAUCGGAACACGCGAAUGCUAUCACUACUUAAUCCUUUUCCCUUGAAAUUAUCAUCAUCUGUGAAGUAAAUACAGUUCCCUUUCCCUCCAAAAAAAUCACCAGAUGAAAUGGAAAAAGAACAAUCCACACCCAACACAAAGGCUCUAUCACCCAAGGAUUUCACAUCAACCCAUGUACCCCACUCUUCAUCCAGCUUAUGGAUUCUGAAAUCAGUAGCGUUAGGAUUACACAUCCGGUAUGUCCUUCUACGAGCGGGGAAAUUAACAUCAAGAUUCUCAUAAUCAUUCCAUGUUCUCCUUUCUCCAUCCAGAUAUCUAUCAACUACAUAAAGAUCUCCACAUGACUCCACCAAAUUCUUCUGCCCACCACAACCGAACAAAGGAGGGGAAUACUGAAUCAGCUUCAAGGAAGAAUCAAUCCAAGAAACUGUACCCCAUCUAUCAACAACAUAAAAUUGGCCCUUAUAUUCAAUAAUAUCAUCAUAUUGAAAAUUUUUAUCAUCUAAAAGUGUCCAACUUUCAUCUCCGUAUUUCCAAUAACCCAAUUUUCCUUCGUGAUAAAUGGCCAGAAUGGAAAUUUCAUAUUUACUACAUCUAGCAGAAAUUGGAAAUAAAACGACUUUAUUUACCUCAUAAAGGGGGAACCCAAAUGGGAAUUUAAGCAUGAAAGCUUUACUUAACUCGAAAAACCGAAAGUCCAGCAAGUUCAACGUGAAUGGAGAGUACAUGAUUGGGUAAUCUGAGAGUGGAUGAACAAGCUUCAAUUUACCCAGCUUGGACACUCUAAUUUUAGUUAACCAGCCCUUGGAAUUCGAUUCUGAAGAAGAAGAAUUAGCAUUCUGAUGGGAAAAUUCCAUUCGGCAUAUGGUGGCAUGGAAGAGAACGGCAUCGAUGCCGAUGGGUUGAGGAAGUUUAAGGAUAAGAGGAGGAAUUUCUUCAUCAAAGGAAGGAAAUGAAACAGAGGAUCGCCAGGAAGUGCAGACAGAGCGAAGUCGGAGAACGUCAACACGAGAAUCAAGGCAUUUGGAGAUUGUUUGUAAGAGCUCCUUUGGAAGAUCGCUCCAUUCGCUCAUCUUGAAGAAAUUUGGUAGAGAAAGUUACCGAGAGCGUGUGCUAGUUUGUAGUGGCUUCAGAGAGAGCUGCUUAGUAAACAGAGCGACUUAGACCAUCAUAUUAUUGGAGGGUAGAUUGAACUUUU